CUUUUAUUCCUGCUUCUUGUCCUGUCGUUUUAUCCUCGCGCGUCUAGCUUGCUCGCUCGAGUUUAUAGGGACUCAAAAGAUCAUCCAGAUUUUUGUGCAUGGUACUGAAAGAAGUUCGUGGGGUCGAAAUAUUUUGGAGGUUAAUUCUUUAAUUUGGACAUUAAAUAGCAAGGCUUAGGCAUGAAUAACCGAGGAGGUCGCCACGAGAACCGUCGGAUGCGGUUAGUAUCUUCUAGCUAUU